CUUUACUGUAGCCUGGUAUUGGGUUCGGGCUUUGACUGCGCAGGAUAGGUGGGAGACUAUGAAGCUGCCCUUGUGGGGGCAGUGGAGUCAUCAGUGAGAUACCACUCUGUCAAGGCUAGAAUUCUAACCGUCUGCCGUUAUCCGGCGACGGAACAGUAUCAGGUGGGCAGUUUGACUGGGGCGGUCGCCUCCUAAAUGGUAACGGAGGCGCGCAAAGGUUCCCUCAGGCUGGUUGGAAAUCAGCCGAAGAGUGUAAAGGCAGAAGGGAGCUUGACUGCAAGAGCAACAACUCAAGCAGGGACGAAAGUCGGCCUUAGUGAUCCGACGGCGCUGAGUGGAAGGGCCGUCGCUCAACGGAUAAAAGUUA
rnacentral:rRNA from 1 species